CUAGCUUCCUUGCAAUCUACUUGCUAAACACAAAACACAAACCUUAUUCAUCAUUCAACAUGCAGACCUCACUGCUUCACGAGCUAGUUGUUGGAAUUCCAAUCAUACACAAACAAUUUCAAAAAUCGAAUAACAAAUACUUACUUGAUUAUGCUUCUCAUCCAUGUCAAUAUCCAUCCCAACAUCAAAGCAAAAGUAAAGGAAGUUGUAACCAGAAAAAGCGCAGCAGGAUAGUAAUUCUGAGAUUUCAGUGAGACUGGGGACAAACAUAUCUGAAACUAUAAAAAGGAAGUUGAGCUUAGGGACAAGAAUUCUUCAAAUGGGUGGAGUGGACAAAGUGUUCAUGAAGUAUUUUAGUGUGAUAAAGGGAGAGAGGCUGUUGAAAGUUUGCCACUGUUAUCUGUCGACCACAUCUGGCCCUCUAGCUGGUCUCCUCUUCAUCUCCACCGAAAAGGUUGCAUUUUACAGCGAGAGAUCAAUAAAAGUCUUUAAUAAGAAAGGACAAAUGUGUAGGAUGCGCUAUAAGUGAAGAAGAUAAAGAGUGUGAGGCAAAGUGAAGAUGUUGAGAAGCCAAGACAGAAGUACAUAAAUAUAACUACAGUUGACAAUUUUGAUUUCUGGCUAAUGGGCGUAUCAAAAUAUCAUAAGACUUACAAAUAUCUGGAACAGGCAACUUCUCAAACUUAGAUGAAUAUGAGAUAUAACUUACAAGAGAUUAUAUGGCAACUGUAAUUGAAGAUAUAACCAGUAUGUUUAAAAGCUAAAUUGAACCCUUAAUAUUCAUAAUGUUAUAUUCUUCUAUAAAUUUUUACAUGGAAAACAACUCCAUCAAGAAAAAAUAGUCCACAUAUACUCUUUAUACUUUUUGAAGUUGAAUGUCCUUGUAUUACUGAACAUUGUGUGUUUUUGUAGGAGUUGGCUAAGAGUCUUGUACUCAAUUCUUUGAAAAAUGAAAUUAAUAGUACUCAAUUUUGACACUAGAAGGGUGUAGAACUUUUGAUUUGAGCUACUAUUACAAUCGAUAAAAUAGUUAAUAUCGUUUGGUAUGUCCUAUGCCUCUUUAGUAUUUUUGUCAUGUUGGGUUUCAUUUGUUGGAGUUGGCUAGGAGCCUUGUACUCAAUAUUCUUCGAAAUUUGAAACUAAUAGUACUCAAUUUUGAUCCUAGGAGGAUGUAGAACUUUAAUUUAAGUUGCUACUAUAAUUGGUAAAAUAGUCAACAUUGUUUGGUAUUGGAUUUAUUUUUCUGGAGUUGGCUAGGAGCCCUGUACUCAAAGUUCUUCAAAAUUUGAAAUUAAUAAUACUCUAUUUUGACAACAGGUGACUGCAUAACUUUGAUUUGUGUUGCUCCUAUAAUUGGUUACUAAGAUGGUUAUGUUGGGAGAAUAUCAUGAUUUAUGAAUUUUUUUAUGAGUGCAGAUAUGAGAGAAGACUGGUCCACGUUUCUAAUCAUAAGUUAGCCUAUCUUUUUGUAGAAGAUUCUCUAUUUUUUUUUUUUUACAUUUUUCAACGUUUAGGCAACGGAUUUUAUGCGUUGCUUAUUAAAAACUGUAGUCUUUUCAUAUGUGAUAUUUAAAGUAACCCGUGGUUUUUUUAUAGUUGCAACAACGGUUAUAUUGUGUUGCUUAGUGAAAACCGCACUCUAAAAGUAGUCCUUAAACCGUAGCCUUUUGUAUUUAAGGCGACGAUGUUUAAAUUCCGUGGGUAGAGGUUAAAAAACCGUCCCUAAAAGAAUAGGCAACGGCCGUUUAUUCCACGACUGGAAAAUCGUUGCCUAAAGAUUUAGGCUACGGUUUUAGGAGUUCUAGCCGCACUUUACUACCGUUGGCUAAUAAUUGAAAGAAUUUGAUAAGAAUUUUGUGUACUGAAGUCUUUAAGAGAAGUUGUCUGGUCCACAUAAACACUCGGAAGUCUUGAAGAGAAGUUAUCUGGUUCACAUAAACACCCGGAAGUCUUACAAGUUUAACGGUCCAAUCCAUUUGUAAUACUCUUCAUUGAUCUCUAGCUACUCUCUCCUCUAGCCAAAAGCUACCAGGCCAGAGCAUGAUAUUGAUAAGUUGGUGUGUUGAGCCCACUUAGACCCAUGCCCCAUAUGAGAGUCCUAACAUAUAUCGCCAACCUUUUAUGCCUGGGGAUUUCCUUCCUACCUUUUUUAAA